AUAAGAGUAGUUAAACACAUAAUAUCGAACUUGCACUUCGAGGUUGGGAUUUUAUCCCCUCUUAUA
rnacentral:tRNA from 1 species